rfam:Oryza barthii chromosome 12, whole genome shotgun sequence.
AAAAAGACAAAUCCUACGUUUUUUUGGUGUCCAACGUUUAACUGUCCGUCUUAUAUGAAAUUUUUUAUAAUUAGUAUUUUAUACGUGAUUAAUACUUUAUGCGUGACUUGUCUUUUUUUUAUAUAUAUUUUUUAAAUAAGAUGAACGGUCAAACUUUGGACACGAAAGUUUAGGGUUUGUCUCUUU